CAGAAUACAAGAAAAAUGGAGUUAAAAUAAUCAAUUCAAAUGUGCUAUUUUCUUAAUUCCCAACAUUUCAUGAGGAUUACUUUGUGUGUUGCCGGUCGACCUGGAUUACACUGAAAGAGGAAGCAGCAGCGCACUGUACAUUGGGCUUUAUCGCUAACAUUUCAUUGGCAGUGAAAGGAUACAUCAGAGAGGUCCAAUCACUUCCUGAAGAUCCCCGCUGGGCCAUGGCUGGCAAGAGGAGAAUUCAGCAGGGUAGCUGGUGACAUCUGAGAGUGGGGAACCAAAACUGGCACCAAAAGAGAUAUCUGCAGCCAGAAAUGAGCAGCAGGUCAACUUUAUUUUUAUCUUAACCAGACAGACUCUACAUGCCAUAAUGAACAGCAACAAGCGAGCUCAUAGCCAUGAACGCAGGCUCAGUUAGGACGGAGAGGUCUUCACUUCUUUUCAUUCCAUGCUGUAUCAAUGUCCAUUGGUAUGAAUGCUUGGCACACAGCAGCUAUCUUAUAAAUCUUUAGUGAAUACAGAAACAAACGAAUGAAGCGUUUUAAAGAAGAGAAACAAAUUAUCCCAGAUUAUUUUGGAAGUUUGAAGUUUGUUCUGCUACAAAAAAGUUAUCUCACUUUCAGAGUAUGUUCAUAACCUUAAUAAACAUUGUAACUAUUAUUACUAUUUGUGGACUUA